rnacentral:tRNA from 1 species
GCCCGGAUAGCUCAGGUAGUAGAGCAGAGGAUUGAAAACCUUGUGUCCUUGGGGCGGUCCCGAGUCCGGGCACCA